UGAGGAAUAUUGGUCAAUGGCCGGAAGACUGAACCAGCCAAGCCGCGUGGAGGAAGAAGGCGCAGAGCGUCGCAGACUCCUUUUGUCGGGGGACAAACGGCCGCACGCGUGCGGCUCUGAGGGUAUCCGAAGAAAAAGCAUCGGCUAACUCCGUGCCAGCAGCCGCGGUAAUACGGAGGAUGCGAGCGUUAUCCGGAUUCAUUGGGUUUAAAGGGUGCGUAGGCGGCGUCUUAAGCCGGCGGUGAAAUCGCGGGGCUCAACCCCGCCGAGCCGUCGGAACUGGGAUGCUCGAGUGUCGGCGAGGCAUGCGGAAUGCGCGGUGUAGCGGUGAAAUGCAUAGAUAUCGCGCAGAACCCCGAUUGCGAAGGCAGCGUGCCAGCCGCCCACUGACGCUGAGGCACGAAAGCGCGGGUAUCGAACAGGAUUAGAUACC
rnacentral:rRNA from 1 species